UUUCAUCUAAUUGAGGCAUAGGAAUAUUCCUAUAUGCAUGGUGGCAAUAGAGCAAAGGCAAUCCUUUAUUAAGCUAUUAUAUCGUACUUCAAAUAAUAGUUAGAUUUAUAAAUUGCCUCUAAAUUUUAAGUGCGAACGUUUAUUACAAAAUUGCCGAAGAAUGCAAAUAGGAAAGAGACAUUUUGAAAUUGCUACAAAAUGGAUCCCAUCUGCAUUAACUUAUGGAGGAGCAGCUGGUUUGACACUGAUUUAUUUUACCGAUUGGAAAGUAGUAGCUAGAUACAUACCAUUUUAUGGAAGCAAAUUUGACAACUAAGUUGUAAAAUAUAUUUAUUGUAAUAUGUUACUUAAUAAAUUAUAGUACUAUAUAA